GGCCUAUUAGCUCAGUUGGUUAGAGCGUUAUGCUAAUAGCAUGAAAGUCACAAAUUUAAACCCUGUAUGGAUCA
rnacentral:tRNA from 1 species